UGUAAAAAAAAAAUCGAACCCUGGCCGCCCGCGUGGCAGGCGAGCAUUCUACCACUGAACCAC
rnacentral:tRNA from 1 species